rnacentral:rRNA from 1 species
CCCUUAGAUGUUCUGGGCCGCACACGCGCUACACUGAAGGAGGCAGCGUGUACUCCUGGACCGAAAGAUUUGGGUAACCCGCGAAUCUCCUUCGUGCUAGGGAUUGAGGUUUGCAAUUAUCCUUCAUGAACGAGGAAUUCCCAGUAAGUGCAAGUCAUAAGCUUGCGCUGACUACGUCCCUGCCCUUUGUACACACCGCCCGUCGCUACUACCGAUUGAAUGAUUUAGUGAGGACUUCGGACUGGGACCGAUGCGGCUUUCGGGCUGCGUCGGUAUUCUGGAAAGAUGUCCAAACUGUAUCAUUUAGAGGAAGUAAAAGUCGUAACA